AUGGAGGGCGAGGCGCCGCAGGCGCACCAGCCGCCGCUGAACGGCGUCAGCCUCGACCUCCGCCUCGACACGAUGACGCACCACCACGGCACCUGGCGCCCGGCGUCCCUUUCUCCCGCGGACUACCAGCAGCAGCACGACGGCAAGGAGGCCUUGUCGUGCAACUACUGCCAGCGCAAGUUCUUGAGCUCGCAGGCGCUCGGCGGCCACCAGAACGCCCACAAGCUCGAGCGCACCCUCGCCAAGCGCGGCCGCGACGCUGACGCAGGCAAAAGCGCCGCCGCCACGCCUUCCUCGCCGGCCGACGCCCACAGCUGGCUCCACGGCGACGGUGAUCUUUGGGCUUACUCUGCUGCUUCACCCGCGGCGAGCAUGAGCAUGGGCAUGGGCAUGGGCGGCUGGGCUGGCACUCGCCGCACCACGACGGCCGGCGGGGAGGCCACGGCGGAGAUGGACUUGUCGCUCAAGCUGUGCCUCUGA
rnacentral:rRNA from 1 species